UACAGAGGGUGCAAGCGUUAAUCGGAAUUACUGGGCGUAAAGCGUGCGUAGACGGUUACAUAAGUCGGGUGUGAAAGCCCCGGGCUCAACCUGGGAAUUGCAUUCGAGACUGCGUAGCUAGGGUGCGGAAGAGGGAAGCGGAAUUUCCGGUGUAGCGGUGAAAUGCGUAGAGAUGUGGAGGAACACCAGUGGCGAAGGCGGCUUUCUGGUCUGUAACUGACGCUGAGGCGCGAAAGCUAGGGGAGCAAACAGG
rnacentral:rRNA from 1 species